rnacentral:rRNA from 1 species
UAAUACAGAGGGUGCGAGCGUUAAUCGGAAUUACUGGGCGUAAAGCGCGCGUAGGCGGUCUUGUAAGUCGGGUGUGAAAGCCCCGGGCUCAACCUGGGAACUGCAUUCGAGACUGCAAGACUGGAGUAUUGGAGAGGGCAGCGGAAUUUCCGGUGUAGCGGUGAAAUGCGUAGAUAUCGGAAGGAACAUCAGUGGCGAAAGCGGCUGCCUGGCCAAAUACUGACGCUCAUGUGCGAAAGCGUGGGGAGCAAACAGGAUUAGAUACCCUGGUAGUCCACGCCAUAAACGAUGACAACUAGACGUCGGAAGGAAUUGCCUUUCGGUGUCGCAGCUAACGCGUUAAGUUGUCCGCCUGGGGAGUACGGCCGCAAGGUUG